CCUACGGGGUGCAGCAGUCGAGAAUCAUUCACAAUGGGGGAAACCCUGAUGGUGCGACGCCGCGUGAGGGAAUGAAGGUCUUCGGAUUGUAAACCCCUGUCAUGUGGGCGCAAAUUAAAAAGAUAGUACCACAAGAGGAAGAGACGGCUAACUCUGUGCCAGCAGCCGUGGUACUACAGCGGUCACAAGCGUGGUGCGGAAUCACUGGGCGUAAAGCGUGAGUAGGCUGUUUCGUAAGUCGUGUGUGAAAGGCGCGGGCUCAACCCGCGGACGGCACAUGAUACUGCGAGACUAGAGUAAUGGAGGGGGAACCGGAAUGCUCGGUGUAGCAGUGAAAUGCGUAGAUAUCGAGAGGAACACUCGUGGCGAAGGCGGGUUCCUGGACAUUAACUGACGCUGAGGCACGAAGGCCAGGGGAGCAAACAGGAUUAGAUACCCCGGUAGUC
rnacentral:rRNA from 1 species